GAUGAACGCUGGCGGCGUGCCUAAUACAUGCAAGUCGAGCGAACAGACGAGGAGCUUGCUCCUCUGACGUUAGCGGCGGACGGGUGAGUAACACGUGGAUAACCUACCUAUAAGACUGGGAUAACUUCGUGAAACCGGAGCUAAUACCGGAUAAUAUAUUGAACCGCAUGGUUCAAUAGUGAAAGACGGUUUUGCUGUCACUUAUAGAUGGAUCCGCGCCGCAUUAGCUAGUUGGUAAGGUAACGGCUUACCAAGGCAACGAUGCGUAGCCGACCUGAGAGGGUGCUCGGCCGCACUGGAACUGAGACACGGUCCAGACUACGACGGGAGGCAGCAGUAGGGAAUCUUCCGCAAUGGGCGAAAGUCUGACGGAGCAACGCCGCGUGAGUGAUGAAGGUCUUCGGAUCGUAAAACUCUGUUAUUAGGGAAGAACAAAUGUGUAAGUAACUAUGCACGUCUUGACGGUACCUAAUCAGAAGGCCAGGGCUAACUACGUG
rnacentral:rRNA from 1 species